UAAAAGAAAAAAAAAUUAUUUUGGGCUAUUGGGGAAUGCUCUAGAAACCUGUAAAGAAGAAAAGUAAUAGGAAAAGGAAUUAAAACAAAAAUGGUAAAGGGGAGAUAGGAAGAAGAAUCGAGAAUCGGAAACAGAGGAGAGGAGGAGAGGUAAUUGCAGCAGCCAUGAUUAAAAAAAAAAAAAAAAGCCACUAAGAUUUCAGCUAAAUUCCCCACCUUGUCAUUUUCGUUCAAUUACAGUAGCCCUAGCCUUGCAAACCCAUCCCGCAAUUUGCAUUCUCUUAACCCAGCAGCCUUAGGAAUUGAAGGACAGAGAUACUUGCAGCAGCUGUCCAACCCUUCAAUUUCUGGCCAAAUCCCAUCCUUACCAACAUCUUUUCAUCUCUAACAGCAGCCCCAUGAUGGAAGAAACCAGUCACCAUCUUCUCCUCUUUACGGAACGCGAGAGAAGAAGCGAGAGGAGCCACAAUUGCUCUCCAAAAUCUAGCAAUUUCUUAUGAGAAUUUCACUCAUUCUUAGUGAUUUGGUCUAUUUGAGGCUGCAACAACCACUCCUAAACUCCCUUGUUACUUCAAUUAGAGUUGAUUUCAUCCAUUUCAACCAAACAGCAAAAUAGAAACAGGAAAUAGAAGAGCUAUUGUUGCUGUCCCUCUUGGAUUUUGGCAUUUUCAAUGCCGUUAAAGCCAACCAGCAACAUCCCUGGCCUCCUUCAACCGUUAUUGAAUCCUCCCAUUACCCCAGUCAAAGCUAGCAGUUGAAUGAAAGGGUAGUUAAUUGAGAUUUCAUUCCUUGGUUAAGUUUUUAGUCCAACCAAGACCAAUAAUCAAACCCACUUCAUUUCCUAGUCCUAAUAAGUUCUAACUUGAAAUUGUUUAAGCUGAAAUUGUGUAAGCUAAGUAUGAAAGAGGGUAAAGGGAGAGGGAAAAUAUUGGUACACGAGUGACAUAGGGUGGUAAUACGAAGGCAGCGUGUGAUGGCCAUCCCAAAUUCUGCUGUUCUUCUAUUUUCAGUAUUUUUCAGCUGCAAUUGGUAUUGGGAAAUCCUGCUUCAGAUGUAGGUUGUAGGGACAUCUUUGUUGGUUAGAUCGUUCCCUUUCAAUUUAUCUUUGUCUCCAAUACCAGAUUCUUUUGGUGAUCCCAGUUCUAGCAAUGCUUGUCUUCAUAGCUUGUCCUCUCCUCGCUUUGUCAAGUCUAGUGGAGGUCAGGCCAACCUACUUCAUGGGUGGAUUGUGAAUUUUUUUGGGGACUAUUUUUUUAUAUAUAUGUUUAGGGUGAUUUAGGAUUGAUUAUUGGGUUGUUGAUAUCCUCUUUUUAAUCUUGAUAUUCUUGGUUGGUUGAUAGCCAUUCUUGGUUGGUUGAUAGCCAUUCUUGGUAAAUUUGACAAAUCUUGGUAAACUUGAUAGUCACGUUAGAUGCAUACUGCUCACAAUUGUGUUUUCAGCAGGUUAUCUUGGUUUUAAUAAGUCAUGUUUUCAAGGGGAUCUUUGUCAGUUUCUUGAGUUUCAUCCUUCUCUAUAGUUUAGGGGUGAGUGUUACAAAUACCCCAACUUAAAUCCUUCCCAUCACUAUUUUCCUCAAAACCGUAAGGGUACCAAAUUCAGUUUAGUUGUUAGUUUAGAUUUCUUAAUUGCUAUCUCAAGUAAACGCUCAUCAUUGCCAUCCGAUCUCUUUCCCAUUAUCUUGGGUCACUUGACAAAUCUAGUGUUGCUGACAAAGGAAACUACAUUAAUUAAGGUAUUUGCUGAAUACAGAGCAAUCAGAAUUGGCGAAAGAGGCAAGUCCAUUUGGCUGUUAUUUUCGCUCCUUUAUAUCUCUAUUUUCUUGUUAUUUUGUUUCUUUUAAUAUUCAUAAGCAUUAUGAUUCUAUUUCUUUUAUUUUCUGCUGCAAAAAUGCUUAGAUUUCUAUGAUUAUUUGAGGUUUUGCAGUAUUUUAA